CAGGACAGGUACAGCAGCGGCAGUGCAAGUAACCUCCACACCACCCCAUCAGUGUGCCUCAACUCUGACCUGGAGGGACCACCUCAAGA